rnacentral:rRNA from 1 species
GAUGAACGCUGGCGGCGUGCCUAAUACAUGCAAGUAGAACGCUGAAGGAGGGAGCUUGCUCUUUCCGGAUGGGUGGCGAACGGGUGAGUAACGCGUAGGUAACCUGCCUGGUAGCGGGGGGUGACUAUUGGGAACGAUAGCUAAUACCGCAUAACAGUAGAUGUUGCAUGAUAUCUACUUAAUAGGUGCAUUUGCACCACUACCAGAUGGAUCUGCGUUGUAUUAGCUAGUUGGUGAGGUAACGGCUCACCAAGGCGACGAUACAUAGCCGGCCUGAGAGGGUGAUCGGCCACACUGGAACUGAGACACGGCCCAGACUCCUACGGGAGGCAGCAGUGGGGAAUCUUCGGCAAUGGGCGGAAGCCUGACCGAGCAACGCCGCGUGAGUGAAGAAGGUUUUCGGAUUGUAAAGCUCUGUUGUAAGGGAAGAACGGGUGUGAGAGUAUAAAGUGCUGUCUGGAAGGGACUCUAACAAGAAGCAGACGCCAAAUUACUG